CAGAGAUUGGAGUGAUGAAUCUACAAGCUCAGGGACGCUAAGGAUUGCUGGCUACCGUUAGAAGGCCAACACUGGGACUUAGUUCUAGUGGUCAGCAGCUGACACGAGAUGAACUCAUGGAGUGGAAGAGGCAGCCUCUCGGCCUCUACCCUGGACCACAUCAGCAAAAUCACUCUGAUCAUGUGAC